UACGGAGGGGGCUAGCGUUGUUCGGAAUUACUGGGCGUAAAGCGCACGUAGGCGGCUUUGUAAGUUAGAGGUGAAAGCCCAGGGCUUAACCCUGGAAUUGCCUUUAAGACUGCAUCGCUAGAAUCGUGGAGAGGUGAGUGGAAUUUCCGGUGUAGCGGUGAAAUGCGUAGAUAUCGGAAGGAACACCUGUGGCGAAAGCGGCUCACUGGACCAUUACUGACGCUGAGGCACGAAAGCUAGGGGAGCAAACAGG
rnacentral:rRNA from 1 species